CUUUUACAGAUUAGGGCCGGGUUGGUUAGGCGCUCCUUUUGGGAAGGAGAAUAGUUGCGUUCGAACCGCAAUAAUCUGAUAUGGAAUUAAUAGAAAUGUAAUUGAUAUAGAACAUAUAUUUAUAUGAAAAUAUAUAAGUAUACAAAGAAACUAUUAUGGAAAUCUGGCUAUGUAUUAAAGGGUAUGAUUUAUUUACUCAAAUUAAGAAUUUAGUAUAAAAUCUAAAUAAUAAUUUAUAUUAAUUUAGUAUAAAUUAUUCUUAGAAUCUAAAAACUUAUUUUAAAUAUAAACCCUAAGAGAAGUUUUUUAAUAAACGAAGUGAAUUGAAAUAUCUUAGUAACUUCAGGAAAAGAAAUCAAAAGAGAUUCUACGAUUAGCGUGAGCGAAAGUAGAGAAGCCUAUAUAUUAAUAAGUAAAAUGGUUUAGAAACUGUUUGAAUUUAAUGGGGAACCUUCCUCAAAGGCUAAAUAUAAUACAUAAGCGAUAGUGAAUAGUAUCAUGAGAGAACGAUUAGAAUUAGUAGUUUUAUAAGCAGUUCGAGCAAAAUAAAUAAGUGAGAACGUACCUUUUGCAUAAUGGGUCACCAAGUUAACAUUAGAUGCGAGUGAAAGCGUAGAUAAACCAAUCGUUAAAAUAACGAAUAGUGUCUAAAGUUAGACCCGAAGCCUGGUGAUUUUACCACAAUCAGGAUUAUAAAAGUCCGAACGGGUUAUCGUUGUAAAGAUAUCCGAAGAAUUGUGGUAGGUAGUGAAAGACAACACUGACUAGGAUAGCUGGUUUUCUGCGAAACCUAUAACAGUAGGCAAUUUGAGUACAUCUUAGCAGGUACAGAAUUUAAUCUCAGACAAGAUGUUUUCAUUUUAGUUCUUGAACUAAAACAACAUGUUGAUUUGUAUAUAUCGGGGGAUCGUGAAGAUUUUAUCGGUGAGUAUGUAGACUCGGAAUGGCAAAGAUGGAUCUUGAAUUAUCAGACAUAGAAUGAUAAGGUUGUAUGUCAAAAGGGAAACAGCCCAGAACAAGAGUUAAGGUUCCAAAAUUAUUAGUUAAGUGAAAUUAAGAAGGUUUUUAUUAAAGUCGACAAGGAGAUGGGCUUAGAAGCAGCCAAAUUUUGAAGACCUCGUAACAGAGCGCUUGUUAAGUUUUAAAAGCAUCGAAAAUUUAACGGAUCUAAACAAUAUACCGACACCUUGUCCAUAUUUUACUAUAUAUAUUAUUGUAAUUUUGUGGGGUAGCAGAACGUUGAAUUAAAUUAAGAUAUUUCUUCUGUGAAGAAAUAUAUAACAAACAAUUCAAGUGAGAAUGGUGACAUGAGUAACGAAUAAGAAGGACACGAUGAGAAAGGGGACAAACGAAACCGGACUUUUCAAAUCCUCCGCCUAAAGCUUAUGGAUGGGCAGAUACCCUUAAAGUAACGGCCUCUAAGUUAUAAAUCUAAAGGUUUAAACGAUGAGAAAAUCUUUUUUACUAAAUGACAACAUUUACAAGUGGUAAGUGUGCUGGAAAAAAUAGUAAUAUAUUUUAUUAAGUAUAUACAACAAACUAAAUAGAUGAGUAUAGAAAUAUGAAAUGAAAAAAUAACCGUACCUAGAAACUAAAACAAGUAAGCUAGUAGAGAAUACGAAGGCGUAAAUGAGCUAACAAUCAUAAAGGAACUCGGCAAACUAACUACCGUAACUUCGGGAUAAGGAGAGCUCAUUAGUCCUGAUUAAUAUCGGGUAAAAAGGAAGAAGCAUAAAAUAGUGUUGUACGACUGUUUAAUUAAAACACAGCACUUUGCUAAAAGAUUAAAAAUCGAAGUAUUGAGUGUGAUGUCUGCCCGAUGCCGGCUGGUUAACGAAUUUAACUAAAUUGAUCAAAAAAUUUGGUGUUGAAGGAACCCCCGGUUAAUGGCGGCCUUAACGUGAGGGUCCUAAGGUAGCGAAAUGCCUUGGCCGUUAAAUGCGGUCUUGCAUGAAUGAUGUAACGAUACAACAGCUGUCUCUAUGAUUGACUCAGUGAAAUUGGAAUAACUGUGCAGAUACAGUUUACCUCUAGUUAGACGAGAAGACCCUAUGCAGCUUUACUGUUACUAAUUAUAGGGUAUGAUGGAUUAAUUUUCAGAUUAUAAGGUACAUUGAUUCAAUAAAAAUGAAAAUCCUUUAUUUUUACAUCAUACUUCAGAAUUAAUUCUUUUUGCUUCCUCCUUAGGAGGAAAGAAAGGAUUAACCUAGUCUGACUUUAAGUAGCCUUAGGUAAGGAAUAUAUUGUUAGGAGACAGUUUAUGUGGGGCACAGGCCCCUUAAAGAGUAAAAGGGAGUGUCUAAAAAUUAUUUGUUAUAAAAUUUAUAACGUUGUUUGUGAUUUUAUGUAGUUUUACUAUAUUUAAUCUUAUAAAAUUAUCUUUAUCUACCCUUGUUGUAGAUACGGAUGGAUAUUAGGUACGAUUUUCACUAUAGUGAAAGUAGCGGUAUAAAAAAAUAUUAUGAAGAGCUCGCGCCUUCUAAUGUUUUUUGAGUUAUUAAGCUGCCCUCGUGGCUCUUAAUAAUAAUGAUGAAUACCUGAAAAGCUCAACGGCUUAUUCGUGCCUUACUGUUUGAUUAACAACAAAUCUUACAGUUGCGUAAGCAGGGCAUAGGAUCACAAGAUGCAAAAAGGAAAGAUCUUGGAUUAUUGGAAAAGCUACGCUAGGGAUGUUUGUCCUUCAAUAUUUUUAAAUUAAAAUUAUUGAUAAUAUAUUGGGUUAAUUUC
rnacentral:rRNA from 1 species